rnacentral:rRNA from 1 species
UUUUAUUUGAGAGUUUGAUCCUGGCUCAGGAUGAACGCUGGCGGCGUGCCUAACACAUGCAAGUUGAGCGAUUUACUUCGGUAAAGAGCGGCGGACGGGUGAGUAACGCGUGGGUAACCUACCCUGUACACACGGAUAACAUACCGAAAGGUAUGCUAAUACGGGAUAAUAUAUUUGAGAGGCAUCUCUUAAAUAUCAAAGGUGAGCCAGUACAGGAUGGACCCGCGUCUGAUUAGUUAGUUGGUAAGGUAACGGCUUACCAAGGCGACGAUCAGUAGCCGACCUGAGAGGGUGAUCGGCCACAUUGGAACUGAGACACGGUCCAAACUCCUACGGGAGGCAGCAGUGGGGAAUAUUGCACAAUGGGCGAAAGCCUGAUGCAGCAACGCCGCGUGAGUGAUGAAGGCCUUCGGGUCGUAAAACUCUGUCCUCAAGGAAGAUAAUGACGGUACUUGAGGAGGAAGCCCCGGCUAACUA